CCAGCAGGGGCCCCCAGUGCCCAGGGAAGGGCCCCCUCGGCCCCACCAGGGACCUGCACCGGUCUGGUUUCACUCUAUCCGGAACUCAGAUUGACGACCACAUCCCCCGACGCUCAGCACAGAGGAUCGUGGCGCCACCCGGUGGCCGCUCCAAUAUCACCACCCUGUCGUGAACCCGGGAGCUCCUUGCUCCUCUCGCGUCUGCUGUAGGGAGAACGAUACAUCAACUACUGUAGCAACAACCAACUACCGUCGAUCAAAACAAAUCUCACCUGGCUUCCAGAACUCAACUCAACAGUGAAACCAUGAACAUGCAAUCUUCUACUCAGAUACAACUGGAAAACAGUAUACAGAGUAGAACUACAAUUACCACUAGUAGUUACCAGUCAUUCUAUGUCUAUGGUAGACACACCAACUUAGUACUUUGAUCUGUUAUCCUUUAUCAAUAUUGUGAUCAAUUCCUCAAUCAAUUUAUCUCAUCACCCAUCAAUAGUCAACUGUCCCCUGUCAGAUCUCCGUAGCAUGCACCUUAAACAGUCUCUGUCUCCUCAGUCAGAUAACCGUCUCUCUCUCUCUCAUCUCCUCGUCUUCACUAUAGCUUUACUAACAUGGUGAUAAAGGAGUCGUAGAUGAAAGUAGUUUUCUUUAGACCACAGGAUGCCUCUCAGCUCUCUCUCUCGUCGUAGUGAUGCCUGCUUCUGCUUUCGCUUCAGUGCUUCUAAGAAACUCUGCAGUUGAGUCCCACAUGGCACUCUAUUCCCUAGAUAGCGCACUACUUUUGUCCUCUAGUGCACUAUCUAGGGAAUAGAGUGCCGUUUCAGACUAACGGGAACUUGUUGUCUCUCUCUCUCUGCUGUUAUUUAGUCAUGGCUGUAGGCUAUUUAGGCUUCAUCUUACCGUCUCUUACUGUUAUGCAUGACUUUUUCCUCUUCAUCGUUACUCAUUACAAAUACAACAAGGGAAAAAAGUGUGUAUUACUGUUACUGUGAACAGACUGUAGGGACAGUCCUCUAGUCACACUUGUCUUACUAUUAUUAUUGAUGUUUUAUCCCAAUGCAGGUGCAAUAACUUUGCUUCCAUGGUAUAUUCAGUCAGUCAGAAUAGGAACUUCACCAAUCCUUCUAUUCAGUCAGUCAGAAUAAGAACUUCACCAAUCCUUCUAGUCAGUCGGUCAGAAUAAGAACUUCACCAAUCCUUCUAGUCAGUCAGUCAGAAUAGGAACUUCACAAAUCCUUCUAGUCAGUCAGUCAGAAUAAGAACUUCACCAAUCCUUCUAGUCAGUCAGUCAGAAUAAGAACUUCACCAAUCCUUCUAUUCAGUCAGUCAGGAUAAGAACUUCACCAAUCCUUCUAUUCAGUCAGUCAGUCAUAAUAAGAACAUCACCAAUCCUUCUAGUCAGUCAGUCAGUCAGUCAGGAUAAGAACUUCACCAAUCAUUCUAGUCAGUCAGUCAGAAUAAGAACUUAUUCAAUCCUUCAUGUCUAUAUAGGAGUUACAGGGAAGCCCAUAUCAUCUGUACACUGGAUCUGUGUUUUUGUCUUUAUAACACAGCCAUGUUCCACUGUCAUCGUGUGACUUUUAUAUUUUUGUAUAUAAAGACGAAACAUCUGGUGCUUUGAAACCCUAGCCUGGUUAAGCCAUACUGAAUGCUCCACUGACUUGGUGAAACAGAGCAUAGCGGUCAGGAUUCCAGGCUAUUGAACACCCACGUUGUAGCCAAGAUACACAGGGAUACGUGGAGCUGUGAACAAUAAACAGUGGUUUUAAAAGUCUUUAGCUUUUUUAAAACCUGACUCUUAUUUGUAAUGAUUUUAUUUAAUUUUCUACCAUUUCCUUUCUCUUUUGUAGACUUCACGUUUGUACUUUUACAUGGUCCGGUUGAGAAAGCGGACAUUUUGUUUUGUCGCCCAAAUAGACCGACAACAUUAACGUUGUUCUUGUUCAACAGUGUUGUAACUCGGUAUACUCAGUCAGUCUUUGGAAAGGUUGUUUACAUUCGUUAAGUGGUCAUAUAAAAAAGGGCAAAUGAAGUGGUCAAUUAAGUCUUUUUCUACUGUUUCUGUGUCCAAUGGAAAUAUGAUUUGUGUCCCGAAAGCUAAUGUACGCAUGUCCUGAAUAAAGUUUGAGGGGGAAUAAGUGUAA